rnacentral:rRNA from 1 species
GACGAACGCUGGCGGCGUGCUUAACACAUGCAAGUCGAACGGAAAGGCCCUGCUUUUGUGGGGUGCUCGAGUGGCGAACGGGUGAGUAACACGUGAGUAACCUGCCCUUGACUUUGGGAUAACUUCAGGAAACUGGGGCUAAUACCGGAUAGGAGCUCCUGCUGCAUGGUGGGGGUUGGAAAGUUUCGGCGGUUGGGGAUGGACUCGCGGCUUAUCAGCUUGUUGGUGGGGUAGUGGCUGACCAAGGCUUUGACGGGUAGCCGGCCUGAGAGGGUGACCAGCCACAUUGGGACUGAGAGACGGCCCAGACUCCAACGGGAGGCAGCAGUGGGGAAUAUUGCACAAUGGGCGGAAGCGUGAGGUAACGGCGCCGCGUGCGUAAUGACGGCUUUCGGGUUGUAAACCGAUUUCGCCUGUGACGAAGCGGGAUUGACGGUAAUUGGUAAAGAAGCACCGGCUAACUACGUG